rnacentral:rRNA from 1 species
ACAGAGGAGCCAAGCGUUGUCCGGAUUGACUGGGCGUAAAGCGCACGCAGGCGGAUGCGCGCGUGGGGUGUGAAAUCUGGCCGCUUAACGGCCAGGCGCCAUCCCAUACGGCGCGUCUGGAGUGAUGCAGAGGUCGAUGGAAUUGCCGGUGUAGUGGUGAAAUGCGUAGAGAUCGAGAGGAACACCAGUGGCGAAGGCGAGUCCCUGGACGACUCCUGACACUGAGGCACGAAAGCUAGGGGAGCAAACAGGA